rnacentral:tRNA from 1 species
AGAGUGAAUUAUAGGGGGGUAUGUUGUUUGUGAUGCAACAUUAAAGCGUUUUUUUGUUUUUCAUUUUU